CAGCCGCCGCGGUAAUACGUAGGUCCCGAGCGUUGUCCGGAUUUAUUGGGCGUAAAGGGAGCGCGGGCGGUUUAGUAAGUCUGAAGUUAAAGGCAUUGGCUCAACCAAUGUAUGCUUUGGAAACUGUUAGACUUGAGUGCAAGAGGGGAGAGUGGAAUUCCAAGUGUAGCGGUGAAAUGCGUAGAUAUAUGGAGGAACACCGGUGGCGAAAGCGGCUCUCUGGCUUGUAACUGACGCUGAGGCUCGAAAGCGUGGGGAGCAAACAGGAUUAGAUACCCCAGUAGUCCCUGUCUCUUAUACA
rnacentral:rRNA from 1 species